rnacentral:rRNA from 1 species
UACGGAGGGGGCUAGCGUUGUUCGGAAUUACUGGGCGUAAAGCGCACGUAGGCGGCUUUGUAAGUUAGAGGUGAAAGCCCGGAGCUCAACUCCGGAAUUGCCUUUAAGACUGCAUCGCUCGAAUCAUGGAGAGGUGAGUGGAAUUCCGAGUGUAGAGGUGAAAUUCGUAGAUAUUCGGAAGAACACCAGUGGCGAAGGCGACUCACUGGACAUGUAUUGACGCUGAGGUGCGAAGGCGUGGGGAGCAAACAGG